UCAUCUGACCACCAUCGAGCCAACUUCAGUGCCUGGUGUACGGGUUUCACCCCCGAGCUGUGGAUGUGAAGUGGGUGAAGAAUGGGGUAGAUGAU